AACUUUCGGCAACGGAUCACUUGGCUCUCGCAUCGAUGAAGAACGCAGCGAAAUGCGCUAAGUAAUGUGAAUUGCAGAAUUCAGUGAAUCAUCGAAUCUUUGAACGCACCUUGCACCCUUUGGCAUUCCGAAGGGUAUGCUCGUUUGAGUGUCAUUGUACUCUCACACUCCCGAUGCUUUUGGAUUGGGAGUGGUGGACUUGGGUGUUGCUGCUUUACUGUGGCUCACCUCAAAUGGAGUAGUGCAACUCUUGGUUGGACAUAGUACGGCGUGAUAAGUGUCUUCGCCGGCGCCUCAUUAGAGGGUGGCCGAUCGGGAGCUCUGUGCUUCAAACCGUCUUCGGACAACAUCUGACAACUUGACCUCAAAUCGAGUAGGACUACCCGCUGAACUUAAGCAUAUCAAUAAGCGGAGGCU
rnacentral:misc_RNA from 1 species